AACGCAUAUUGCGCCCUCUGGUAUUCCGGGGGGCAUGCCUGUUCGAGCGUCAUUAUCACCCCUCAAGCCCGGCUUGUUGUUGGACGUCGGCGGCGGCCUUGAGUGGCGCACCGCCCGUCUCAAAGAUAAUGACGGCGUCUGUGAGGACACCUGUACACUGAGCUUUCGGGCACGUACUAGGCUUGAUACUCGCAGACCCGGUCUAUAGGGUUCGCCUCGGCGGCCCAACUUUUUUACCAAGGUUGACCUCGGAUCAGGUAGGAAUACCCGCUGAACUUAA
rnacentral:misc_RNA from 1 species